UGGUGUCCAUCUUCAUUAAGUUGCUGCCAAAAUUUGGAAGACACCAUAGCUAGGGUUUCUUUGCUUUCUCAAGCUCAUAAUCAAGAAAGACGAGAAGACUACCUCAAACGGGGAAAGAGAAAGUAGUGGAGUAAAUUGCAAAAUUAGGAUAUUUUGCACCGAGUGACAUCAAUCAAUUUGGAACUUGGGCGGAGUCAGAUAAUCAUCCACGCUAUCAUCAACGCUUGGGUAUUUUGCAACUUAUAUUUUGGAAACAUGGCAUGUAUAGACGACUUUAUGUACCGUGGCGUAAACUAAUAUAUAUAUUUCGGUUUAAAA